rnacentral:lncRNA from 1 species
CUCUUCAAGUGUGCUUCUUCCCCCUUCUCCCACUUACCAUGGCAAGUCCUUGUGAAAUAACUCUGAUGGGCAGAAAAAAGAAGGAGUUAAGAGACCCUCCUGGCCCAAACCUAGACACUCUAAGAUCCUUUUUCAAACCUGCUCUGCUCCCAUUUAAGGAAAAAGAAUUUCACGUUCUUCCUGAAAGGAAGGGAGGAUUAGGAAAGUCCUAUUGAUUGUUGCUUUCUCCAAACUGCCGGGAAAAGCAUAAAAAAGGCUCGAAUGGUAUGAUCCCUCCGUCACCCCAGAAUGAAAGGGGUGAUCUCGUAGUUCCUGGUCUAUGAACAUGCAUUGUUAGGUGCUCCAUUUUCCCAUUGAGGAUGAACCUCAACCUGUGCUCGAGAGAUAGCUCUCCAGACACUGAUAAGGGAUGGAUGGAUUCUCGAGAAGAGAGGAGCCGUGGUGCCCCCCCUGACCGCCCGGAUCCCACGAGUGAAUAGAAAGUUAGAUCUAUGUGGGAUCUCACCUGAAUUGCCCCAUCUAUCCACCUAAGGAGAAGUUUGUUUGGUUUCAAACUCCGAUUAAAACAGGAGGAGUACACCAUGCUAAUGUGCCUUGGAUGAUCCACAUCUUCGGGUCAGGCGCUAAUGAGCACAUUGAACUAUCCAUGUGGCUGAGAGCCCUCACAGCCCAGGCAGAACGACGCAAUUAUCAGGGGCGCGCUCUACCACCGAGCUAAUAGCCCGUCGCGCGGGCCUCCCUUUAGGAGGCCGCUACGCCAAAAGCGAGAAAACUCCAUCCCUUUCCUUUUGAAAUCCCCAUGCCGCCACACCACAGGGGGGACAUGGGGACGCCAAAAAAUGGAUCCUAUCACUAUCAACUAAUUUGUUACGACCUAGCAUAAUAAGCUCAUGAGCUUGGUCUUACUUCACCCUAAAUGAAAGAAGACUUCCAUAUCCAAGUUUAGCUCAAACGUAGAUGCCUUAUUUUUGGGCGUGAAGAAGUGUCAAACCAAAAUACGCAAUAAGCAUAAGCAUUAGCUCUCCUUGAAAAGGAGGUGAUCCAUCCACACCUUCCAGUACGGCUACCUUGUUACGACUUCACUCCAGUCGCAAGCCUAGCCUUAGGCAUCCCCCUCCUUACAGUUAAGGGUAAUGACUUCAAACAUGGCCAGCUCCUAUAGUGUGACGAGCAGUGUGUACAAGGCCCAGGAACGGAUUCACCGCCGUAUGGCUGACCGGCGAUAACUAGCGAUUCAUGCUUCAUGCAGGCGAGUUGCAGCCUGCAAUCCGAACUAAGGACGGGUUUUAGGAGUUAGCUCACCCUCACGAGAUCGUGACCCUUUGUCCCGCCCAUUGUAGCACGUGUGUCGUGGAGCAUUUGGUUUAAUUCGAUGUAAAGCGAAGAACCUUACCAGGGCUUGACAUGCCGCGAAUCCUGUUGAAAGAGAGGGGUGCCCUCGGGAACGCGUACACAGGUGGUGCAUGGCUGUCGUCAGUUCGUGUCGUAAGGUGUUGGGUUAAGUCUCGUAACGAGCGCAACCCUCGUGUUUAGUUGCCACUAUGAGUUUGAAACCUUGAACAGAUAGCCGGUGUGAAGCCGGAGGAAGGCGAGGAUGAGGCCAAGUCAUCAUGCCCCUUAUUCCAUGGGCGACACACGUGCUACAAUGGGCGGGACAAAGGGUCUCGAUCUCGCGAGGGUGAGCUAACUCCAAAAACCCGUCCUCAGUUCGGAUUGCAGGCUGCAACUCGCCUGCAUGAAGCAGGAAUCGCUAGUAAUCGCCGGUCAGCCAUACGGCGGUGAAUCCGUUCCCAGGCCUUGUACACACCGCCCGUCACACUAUAGGAGCUGGCCAUGUUUGAAGUCAUUACCCUUAACCGUAAAGAGGGGGAUGCCUAAGGCUAGGCUUGCGACUGGAGUGAAGUCGUAACAAGGUAGCCAUACUGGAAGGUGCGGCUGGAUCACCUCCUUUUCAAGGAGAGCUAAUGCUUAUGCUUAUUGGGUAUUUUGGAUUGACACUUCUUCACGCCCAAAAAGAAGGCAGCUACGUCUGAUCUAAACUUGGAUAUAGAAGUCUUCUUUCGUUGUAGAAAUAGAAAUGAAAUAAUAUAUAGAUAAUCGAAAUUUCAAAGAACUGUCUUUUCUGUAUACUUUCCCUGUUCUAUUGCUACCGUGGGUCUUAUGCAAUCGAUCAGAUCAUAUAGAUAUCCUGUCAACACAACAUAGGUCAUCGAAAAGAUCUCGGACAACUCACCAAAGCACGAAAGCCAGUUAGAAAAUGGAUUCCUAUUUGAAUAGUGCCUAACCGCAUGGAUAAGCUCACAUUAACCCGUCAAUUUUGGAUCCAAUUCGGGAUUUUUCUAGGGAAGUUUCCGGAAGAAAUUGGAAUGGACUAAUAUAGAUUCAUACAGAGGAAAAGGUUCUCUAUUGAUGCAAACGUUGUACCUAUAGGAUAGGGAUAGAGGAAGAGGGAAAAUCGAAAUGAAAUAAAUAAAGAAUAAAGCCAAAAAAAUAAUUCGAAGAUAGAAGAGCCCAGAUUCCAAAUGAAGAAAUGGAAACUCGAUAAGGAUCCUUCUGAUUCUCAAAGAUCAGGGGUGCGCUCUACCACUGAGCUAAUAGUCCGUCGCGCGGGCCUCCCUUUGGGAGGCCUGCUACGCCAAAAGCGAGAGAAACUCCAUCCCUUUCCUUUUGACAUCCCCAUGCCGCCACACCACAGGGGGGCAUGGGGACGCCAAAAAAGGGAUCCUAUCCCUAUCAACUAAUUUGUUAUGACCUAGGAUAAUAAGCCCAUGAGCUUGGUCUUACUUCACCCUAAAUGAAAGAAGACUUCCAUAUCCAAGUUCAGCUCAGACGUAGUUGCCUUCUUUUUGGGCGUGAAGAAGUGUCAAACCAAAAUGCCCAAUAAGCAUAAGCAUUAGCUCUCCCUGAAAAGGAGGUGAUCCAGCCGCACCUUCCAGUACGGCUACCUUGUUACGAUUUCACUCCAGUCGCAAGCCUAGCCUUAGGCAUCACCCUCCUUACGGUUAAGGGUAAUGACUUCAAACAUGGCCAGCUCCUAUAGUGUGACGGGCGGUAUGUACAAGGCCCGGGAACGGAUUCACCGCCGUAUGGCUGACCGACAAUUACUAGCGAUUCCUGCUUCAUGCAAGCGAGUUGCAGCCUGGAAUCAGAACUAAGGACGGGUUUUUGGAUUUAGCUCACCCUUGAGAGAUCGCGACCCUUUGUCCCGCCCAUUGUAGCAUGUGUGUCGCCCAGGGCAUAAGGGGCAUGAUGACUUGGCCUCAUUCUCUCUUUCCUCCGGCUUAACACCGGCAGUCUUUUCAGGGUUCCAAACUCAUAGUGGCAACUAAACACGAGGGUGGCGCUCAUUGUGAGACUUAACCCAACACCUUACGGCACGAGAUGACAACAGCCAUGCACCACCUGUGUCCGCGUUCCCGAGGGCACCCCUCUCUUUCAAGAGGAUUCGCGGCAUGUCAAGCCCUCUUAAGGUUCUUUGCUUUGUAUCAAAUUAAACCACAUGCUCCACUGCUUGUGCGGGCCCCCAUUAAUUCCUUUGAGUUUCAUUCUUGCGAACCUACUCCCAGGCGGGAUACUUAACGCGUUAGCUACAUCACUGCACGGGUCGAGUCGCACAGCACCUAGUAUCCAUCGUUAUUGCUAAGACUACCGGGGUCUCUAAUCCCAUUUGCUCCCCUAUCUUUCUUCUCUUAGUGUUAGUGUCGGCCCAGCAGAGUGCUUUCGCCGUUGGUGUUCUUUCCGAUCUCAAUGCAUUUCACCGCUCCACCGGAAAUUCCCUCUGCCCCUACCGUACUCUAGCUUGGUAGUUUCCACCGCCUGUCCAGGGUUGGGCCCUGGGAUUUGACGGCGGACUUGAAAAGCCACCUAAAGACGCUCUAUGCCCAAUCAUUCCGUGUGAAAUCCGCCGAAGGAGGGGCUCGCGUCUUAUUAGCUAGUUGGUGAGGUAAUAGCUUACCAAGGCGAUGAUCAGUAGCUGGUCCGAGAGGAUGAUCAGCCACACUGGGACAGAGACACAGCCCAGACUCCUAUGGGAGGCAGCAGUGGGGAAUUUUCCGUAAUGGGCGAAAGCCUGACGGAGCAAUGCCGCGUGGAGGUGGAAGGCCUACGGGUCGUCAACUUCUUUUCUCGGAGAAGAAACAACGACGGUAUCUGAGGAAUAAGCAUCAGCUAACUCUGUGCCAGCAGCCGCGGUAAGACAGAGGAUGCAAGCGUUAUCUGGAAUGAUUGGGCGUAAAGCAUCUGUAGGUGGCUUUUCAAGUCCGCCAUCAAAUCCCAGGGCUCAACCCUGGACGGGCGGUGGAAACUACCAAGCUGGAGUAUGGUAGGGGCAGAGGGAAUUUCCGGUGGAGCGGUGAAAUGCAUUGAGAUGAGAAAGAACACCAAUGGAGAAAGCACUCUGCUGGGCCGACACUGACACUGAGAGACGAAAGCUAGGGGAGCAAAUGGGAGUAGAGACCCAAGUAGUCCUAACCAAAGGUGUAUUUUGAGUAUACCGAAUUAGUAUAGCUAUCCUUCCUAUGGCACAUCAAUCUGGUUUUGCCUGGUUCCGAAACAUAAUUACUUUUUUAUUUUAUUUUUUAAUCUUUGUCUAUAGGCAAGCUAUAUGUUAUUCAAGGCAUCAAUAGAAAACCCCAUUUUUGUAGGUUCUACUUACUUUUAAAUGGCUUCGGAAUAAUAGAGUAAUUCGGAAUAGCAGCCAAAAUCUUGGGAAAAUCUAAGUUAAUGAUCAAUAGGUUUGGAUAAAUAAUUUAGGAAGGAUAUUCUCAUACUUGCACAAUACAAGGACAAGUAUAUGUGAAAUCUAUCCUUUCAUUUUCGUAAUUCAUCCUUGUAUUGUUUGUUGGAUUAGGUCUAACUUUCUUGACCAAACAGCGAGCGCGGAACUUUACGAGAUGAAAUAGGGAAAGACAGAAGAUAGAAUAGAACUUAGAAGGAUAAUUGAAGUGACUCGUCUUUGAAUCUAGUUUGGUUGGAGUUCGAAAAAGGAAUAAAAAUAAAGUAAAUUCAAGGAAGAGAUUUCUUUUUUUAACAGCCCCUUGGUAGGUCAUGGAAUGCUUUUGUUCUCCUCUUAUUCCACAUGGAAUACAAUCAGUUAAAAUAUGAAGGAAUAGGGGAAUAUUCGAUCGUUCACUCCAAAAAGAGGGUCCUAUUGAAAAAGAAAUUAUCCAAAAACAAAAUAAGUUUUUUUUCAAAUAUAAUUGUUUAUUUAUCUCUUAUUCAAAAAUUUCCCUGAAAAUUGAAUUUCAUUUUUUCAUUCAAUGGGGUUAGAUGAUCUAGUUCUUAAUAUUAUUGCUUUACUCAAUUGACAAAUUCCAUAACAAAUCUCUUGAUUCGGAAUUAGGGACUCAUGUAUCAUCUGAUGAAUCCACUUUCUUUUACACUUCUGUAUCUUACCCUAUCUUGUUUUUUAGUAUUAUCUAAAGUAACUGAUGAAUUAUGAAUUUUCCAUAACUUAGGUAAAUGCUUUACCAACAUAUGUAGUGUAGUAAAAAAUGGAAUUUAACUCUUUCAUGCUUACUUAAACCAGUUAUUUUGGUUUUCUACUGGCUACUUUAACUAUAACCCCAGCUCUAUUUAUUGGUUUGAACAAGAUAUGCCUUAUUUGAAUUGACUAAAUAAUUAUAAGAGUAAAAUUCAAGCGCAUUCCUAAUUCUUUUCUGAAAGUGUCACUUGGGUCUUAUUCUUUCAAAAUGCAUAUCAGAGUCCCAAAUCUUUUUAAGUUGUUCACGCGAGGUCCUAAUCCCGUCUGACUGCCGCUGACCAGCUCGCGUGGUGCUUUGACCAGUCCACGUCGACACCAGAGGGCCCAGGGGGGAUAACGACCGGCCGUGAAUAUUUGCAGAAAAAACCCUCUAACACUAAUACUGCUUCAUUUGCGGCCCCCCUUCCUCUUCCCCACCCCUCUCCCUCUCCCUGUCUGGCAAAAAUAGGGCGAUUGACGGCGGCGGCUCUGCUCCAGUGAGAAGAGGGCGGUGGCGGCAGCUUUUGUCCGGCGAGGGCGACGGCAACGCUAGGAUGGCGCCACAUCUACGGCGACCCGGAGACCCUCCUCCGCGAUAUGGUAAUUUUUCGUAACCCUAAUCCCAAUCCUACUGUUUAGUUCCCAUUAUUCUCAUUUAGGCAGAAUCAAUGACCGAAUCCUUUGCAAUCUAGGACCACAAGAGGAGCCUUUCAGUGUAGAAAUCAAUUAUGAGGUUUUUUAGCGGAUUUGGGAAAUCGAAGUCAUAUGUCGAUGUCAAAGAUGCUGUGUUUGAUGGAUGUGAAGUAGAUACAUGGUCUCCUCUCUGGCUCACUGAUUUUAUGCAACAAUUAGGAUAUAGUGUGGCAGCUAGGGCAUGGUACCAACGGCAGCAGAUCCGCUGGCGCCGGCGAUGAGAUAGGCGGCGAGAAAAGGGCUAAUGCCGGAGGUGGAAGAGGCGCUUGGGCAGUCGUCUUCCCGCGGUGCUUCGCGGCAGAUGAGCACACGGCGGCGGACAUGGCAGCGACGGCGCCAGAGAGAGGGAGAGAGCGAGCAGAAGACCAAAGUACUGGGGAAUGAGGAAGACAUAAACUCCAAGGGGCACAUUGCUUAAAAUUCCAACCGUCAGUCGCGGGAAAUCUCCCGCAUGGGCCCUCGAGUCGAGGUGGCGGCGGUCAAAGCGCCACACGAGCUGGUCAGACGGGAUUAGGACCUCGCGUGAACAACUUGAAAAGAUUUGGGACUCAGAUAUGCAUUUUGAAAGAAUUAGGACCCAAGUGACACUUUCAGAAAAGAAUUAGGACCGCACUUGCAUUUUACUCUAAUUAUAAUUCAGAAAAGAAAAAUCUUUCUUUGGGAUUCCUGGCAUUCUACGACUCUUUUCCAGACUAAUUAGGAAUUCUUUUCUUGGUCAUUGAGAUUCGUGGAUAAGUUAGAGUACUAUUAUCGUACCUCUUUUUUUAUCCCCUCGAACAAAUCAAAAUGAUUGAAGUUUUUCUAUUUGGAAUCGUCUUAGGCCUAAUUCCUAUUACUUUAGCGGGAUUAUCCGUGACUGCAUAUUUGCAAUACAGGCAUGGCGAUCAGUUGGAUCUUUGAUUGAGUCAUUUUUUUAUUGACCUCCUCCAGACCAGAGAGGAGGUCAAAUUGAAAUUGGAGUUACAAUUCAAUUUUGUUAAGUUAUUUUACUCUGCUUCGACAUAAGAUAGAUGGAAUCACGCUCUGUAGGAUUUGAACCUGCAAAAUCGGGUUAGGGGUGGAUAAUAGAUCGAUAUGAAGAUCAUGAGCUGCCCCAUAAUGAAAUCGCCAGUAGUCGCGAAUAUCUCCUUCCCUAAUCCAAGAUUGGAGAAAGAAGAUCUAAGAGGGACCUAUGGAGAAUGUAGUCAGAAAUCCAUAGUAGAGUCCGACCACAACGACCGAAUUAAUUAUCCUCAUCGAGAAACUUAGACUACUAAAUAGAAAAGAUUUGAAAAUCAUGGCAUGGGUCUCCUUUUUUCUUUCUUUAGAGUUUUCUAUAUGCACAAUUUCUCGAUGUUUCGCUGAGAAUUUCUUGACUUUCCAUAUAUAGAAAGAGAUAGACUAUAAAUGACAUCUCUUAUGUCAAUAAGACAAAAGGGAUGGAUAUUAAAUGAUAGGAAGUGCUAGGAAAUGAAAUAGAAUGAAAUAGAGCCACUUUGGGCUUCCCUAUGAAAUGAGGCAUGGAACGGAGCCACUACGAAGAAAUUAUGGGAGUUAUGAAAGAAGCUUCUUACUCAUAUUGUUCACGGGUUGAGAGCGGGAGUUGAACUCUAGGAGGCCGAAUCCCCCCUUGUUCCUCAGUAGCUCAGUGGUAGAGCGGUCGACUGUUAACUGACUGGUCGUAGGUUAGAAUCCUACUUGGGGAGAUUUUAUUCAUUCUUUAAUGUAAGAAUUUUAAUGUAAGAAUAAAGAAUUGAAUUAAAGGGCUUGCUUUGACCCUUAGGAGUAGGUAACCCAUUUGCUAUCCUUGUUUCUGUUUCUAUUGUAUUCUAUCUCAUCGUAUCAGUUCUACGAUUCCACUUCGAAUAAAGGAAAGAGCAUACCUAAGUUCAAUAGCUUUACGUCCGCUAUCCCGAUCAUGAUUUUCCUACCCUCAGGGGGAAUGUAAAGGCCCUUCCCCCUUUGGAAGGAUGUGGGCGAGGAGGGAUUCGAACCCCCGACACUAUGGUUCGUUGCCACGUGCUCUAAUCCUCUGAGCUACAGGCCCAGCUAUCUCCACUGGAUCUCUUCCUGGGGGUACCCCUUCAUUUCAGGUUAAGAAGAUGGGAAAGCAUCUUUCUCUCUAUAAGAACAGUGCGUUCCGAGGUGUGAAGUGGGAGAGAGGGGCUGUGAUUGAAGGAAAUGUGCCCUAGAGGCAAUAAUAAAGUUGUUAUUCAUAUUUCCUUAUAUCAUGAUAAAUGUUUAUUAUUCAUGCUAGAAUUGUAUUAACCGGAAACUUAGUACAUGUGUGAAUACAUAGACAAACAGAGUGUCCCUAGUAUGCAUCUACUUGACUAGCUUGUUUAUCAAAGAUGGUUAUGUUUCCUAGCCAUAGAUAUGUGUUGUUAUUUGAUGAAUGGGAUCACACCAUUAGAGAAUGAUGUGAUGGACAAGACCCAUCCGUUAGCUUAGCACUAUGAUCAUUUAGUUUAUUGCUAUUGCUUUCUUCAUGACUUAUACAUGUUCCUCUGACUAUGAGAUUAUGCAACUCCCGAAUACCAGAGGAACACUUAGUGUGCUAUCAAACAUCACAACGUAACUGGGUGAUUAUAAAGAUGCUCUACAGGUGUCUCCGAUGGUGUUUGUUGAGUUGGCAUAGAUCGAGAUUAGGAUUUGUCACUCCAAUUGUCGGAGAGGUAUCUCUAGGCCCUCUCGGUAAUGCACAUCACAAUAAGCCUUGCAAGCAAUGUGACUAAUGAGUUAGUUGCGGGAUGAUGCAUUACGGAACGAGUAAAGAGACUUGCCGGUAACGAGGUUGAACUAGGUAUGGUGAUACCGACGAUUGAAUCUCGGGUAAGUAACAUACCGAUGACAAAGGGAACAACGUAUGUUGUUAUGCGGUUUUACUGGUAAAGAUCUUCGUAGAAUAUGUAGGAGCCAAUAUGAGCAUGCAGGUUCCGCUAUUGGUUAUUGACCAGAGAGGUGUCUCGGUCAUGUCUACAUAGUUCUCGAACCCGUAGGGUCCGCACUCUUAACGUUCGACGACGAUUGGUAUUAUGAGUUUAUGUGAUUUGAUGUACCGAAAAUUGCUCGGAGUCCCGGAUGAGAUCACGGACAUGACGAGGAGUCUCAAAACGGUCGAGAGGUAAAGAUCGAUAUAUUGGAAGGCUAUAUUUGGACAUCGGAAAGGUUCUGAGUGAUUCGGGUAUUUUUCGGAGUACCGGAGAGUUACGGGAAUUCGCCGGGGGAAGUAGUGGGCCUUAAUGGGCCAUACGGGAAAGGAGAGAAGGGCAUCAAGGGGUGGCCGCCCCCCCCCCCAUGGGCUGGUCCGAACUGGACUAGGAGGGGGCGGCGCCCCCCUCCUUCCUUCUCCCCUCUUCCUCCUUCCCUUCCUUCUCCUAGUUGGAAUAGGAAAGGGGGGCUGAAUCCUACUUGGACCGGGAGUCCUAGUAGGAAUCCCCCCUUUGGCAUAUGAUCGGGUGUGAUAAGCUCUAUGUUCACAUACAAUGGGUGCAAGCCAGUUUUGCACACGCAGAAUACUCGGGUUAAACUUGAUGAGCCUAGCAUAUGCAGAUAUGGCCUCGGAACACUGAGACCAAAAGGUUGAGCGUGAAUCAUAUAGUAGAUAUGAUUAACAUAGUGAUGUUCACCAUUGAAAAUUAUUCCAUCUCACGUGAUGAUCGGACAUGGUUUUGUUGAUAUGGAUCACGUGAUCAGUUAGAUGAUUAUAGGGAUGUCUAUCCAAGUGUGAGUUCAUAAGUAAUAUGAUUAAUUGAACUUUAAUUUAUCAUGAACUUAGUCCUGAUAGUAUUUGCAUAACUAUGUUGUAGAUCAAUAGCCCGCGAUGUAGCUUCCGUUUAUUUUUGAUAUGUUCCUAGAGAAAAAUUAUGUUGAAAGAUGAUAGUAGCAAUGAUGCGGACUAGGUCCGUGAUCUGAGGAUUAUCCUCAUUGCUGCACAGAAGAAUUAUGUUCUUGAUGCACCGCUAGGUGACAGACCUAUCGCAGGAGCAAAUCAGACGUUGUGAACAUUUUGCAAGCUCGGUAUGAUAACUACUUGAUAGUUUAGUGCACCAUGCUUUACGGCUUAGAACCGGGACUUCAAAAACGUUUUGAAAGCCAUGGAGCAUGUAAGAUGUUCCAAGAGCUGAAAUUGGUAUUUCAGACUCACGCCCGAGUCGAGAGGUAUCAGGCCUCUGAUAAGUACUUUUCCUACAAGAUGGAGGAGAAUAGCUCAACCAGUGAGCAUGUGCUCAGAUUAUCUGAGUACUACAAUCGCUUGAAUCAAGUGGGAGUUAAUCUUCCAGAUAAAAUAGUGAUUGACAGAGUUCUCUAGUCACUAUCACCAAGUUACUAGAACUUCGUGAUGAACUAUAAUUUGCAAGGGAUAGCAAAAAUGAUUCCCGAGCUCUUCGUGAUGCUGAAAUCGACGAAGGUAGAAAUCAAGAAAAGCAUCAAACGUUGAUGGUUGAAAAGACCACUAGUUUCAAGUAAAAGGGCAAGGGAAAGAAAGGGAACUUCAAGAAGAAUGACAAGCAAGUUGUCACUCCCAUGAAGAAGCCCAAAGCUAGACCCAAGCCUGAAACUGAGUGCUUCUACUGCCAAGGAAAUGCUCACUGGAAGCGGAACUGCCCCAAAUACUUGGCGGAUAAGAAGGAUGGCAAAGUGAACAAAAGUAUAUAUGAUAUACAUGUUAUUGAUGUGUACUUUACUAGUGUUCAUAGUAGCCCCUGGGUAUUUGAUACUGGUUCAGUUGCUAUGAUUAGUAACUCGAAACAGGAGUUACAAAAUGAACAAAGACUAGCUGAGGGCAAGGUGACGAUUUGGGUUGGAAGUGAUUCCAAGGUUGAUAAGAUCACCAUCGCACACUCCCUUUACCUUCGGGAUUAGUGUUGAACCUAAAAUAAAUGAUAUUUGGUGUUUGCGUUGUGCAUAAUAUGAUUUGAUCAUGUUUAUUGCAAUACGGUUAUUCAUUUAAGUCAAAGAAUAAUUGUUAUUCUGUUUACAUGAAUAAAAACCUUCUGUGGUCAUACACCCAAGGUGAAUGGUUUAUUGAAUCUCGAUCGUAGUGAUACACAUAUUCAUAAUAUUGAUGCCAAAAGAUGCAAAGUUGAUAAUGAUAGUGCAACAUAUUUGUGGCACUACCGUUUAGGUCAUAUUGGUGUAAAGCGCAUGAAGAAAUUCCAUGCUGAUGGGCUUGUUGGAAUCACUUGAUUAUGAAUCACUUGAUGCUUAUGAACCAUGCCAUGGGCAAGAUGACUAAGACUCCAUUCUCCGGAACAAUGGAGCGAGCAACUAACUUAUUGGAAAUAAUACAUACUGAUGUAUGCGAUCUAAUCAGUGUUGAGGCUCGCGGUGCGUAUCGUUAUUUUCUGACCUUCACAGAUGAUUUGAGUAGAUAUGGGUAUAUCUACUUGAUGAAACAUAAGUCUGAAACAUUUGAAAGGUUCAAAGAAUUUCAGAGUGAAGUGGAAGAUCAUCGUAACAAGAAAAUAAAGUUUCUUUGAUCUGAUUGCGGAGAAUGAAUAUUUGAGUUACGAGUUUGGUCUUCAUUUGAUGUGGAAUAGUUUUGCAACUCAUGCCACCUGGAACAACACAGCGUAAUGGUGUGUCCGAACAUCAUAACUGUACUUUAUUAGAUAUGGUGCGAUCUAUAAUGUCUCUUACCGAUAUACCACUAUCGUUAUGGGGUUAUGCAUUAGAGACAGCUGCAUUCACGCUAAAUAGGGCACCAUCUAAAUCCAUUGAGAUGACACCGUAUGAACUAUGGUUUGGCAAGAAACCUAAGCUGUCAUUUCUUAAAUUUUGGUGUGGCAAUGCUUAUGUGAAAAAGUUUCAACCUAAUAAGCUCGAACCCAAAUUGGAGAAAUGUGUCUUCAGAGGAUACCCAAAGGAAACUGUUGGGUACACCUUCUAUCAUAGAUCCGAAGGCAAGAUAUUCGUUGCUUAGAAUGGAUCCUGUCUAGAGAAGGAGUUUCUCUCGAAAGAAGUGAGUGGGAGGAAAGUAGAACUUGAUGAGGUAAUUAUACCUGCUCCCUUAUUGGAAAGUAGUUCUUCACAGAGAUCAAUUCCAUUGAUUCCUACACCAAGUAGUGAGGAAGCUAAUGAUGAUGAUCAUGAAACUUCUUAUCAAGUUACUAGCGAACCUCGUAGGUCAACCAGAGUAAGAUCUGCACCAGAGUGGUACGGUAAUCCUGUUCUGGAGGUCAUGUUACUUGACCAUGACAAACCUACGAUCUAUGAGGAAGCAAUGAUGAGCCCAGAUUCCGCGAAAUGGCUUGAGGCCAUGAAAUCUGAGAUGGGAUCCAUGUAUGGGAACAAAGUAUGGACUUUGAUUGACUUACCCGAUGAUCGGCAAGCCAUUGAUAAUAAAUGGAUCUUCAAGAGGAAGACAGACGCUGAUGGUAGUGUUACUAUCUACAAAGCUCGAAUUGUCGUAAAAAGGUUUUCGACAAGUUCAAGGUGUUGACUACGAUGAGAUUUUCUCACUCGUAGCGAUGCUUAAGUUUGUCUGAAUCAUGUUAGCAAUUGCCACAUUUUAUGAAAACUGGUAAAUGGAUGUGAAAACUACAUUCCUUAAUGGAUCUCUUAAAGAAGAGUUGUAUAUGAUGCAACAAGAAGGUUUUGUCAAUCCUAAAGGUGCUAACAAAGUGUGCAAGCUCCAGCGAUCCAUCUAUGGACUGGUGCAAGCAUCUCGGAGUUGGAAUAUACGCUUUGAUGAGUUGAUCAAAGCAUAUAGUUUUAUACAGACUUGCGGUGAAGCCUGUAUUUACAACAAAGUGAGUGGGAGCACUCCAGCAUUUCUGAUAAGUAUGUGUGAAUGACACAUUGUUGAUUAGAAAUAAUGUAGAGUUUUCUGGAAAGCAUAAAGGAGUGUUUGAAAGGAGUUUUUCAAAGAAAGACCACGGUGAAGCUGCUUACAUAUUGGGCAUCAAGAUCUAUAGAGAUAGAUCAAGACGCUUGAUAAGAUUUUUCAAUGAGUACAUACCUUGACAAGAUUUUUUGAAGUAGUUCAAAAUGGAAUAGUCAAAGAAAGAGUUCUUGCCUGUAUUGCGAGGUGUAAAGUUGAGUAAGACACAAAACACGACCAGGGCAGAAAAUAGAAAGAGAAUGAAAGUCAUUCCCUAUGCCUCAGUCAUAGGUUCUAUGAGUAUGCUAUGCUGUAUACCAGACCUAUUGUGAACCUCACCAUGAGUUUGGCAAGAGGGUACUAUCGUGGAUUUGUCACGGCAGAUGUCCUAGUGUGAGGACUUCGUCGUGAGGCCAACGCAUCUAUGUAGUAGCUUGAGAGGGGUUGACCGGGACGAGAGACACGACACACAAGACAAGGAUUUAGACAGCUUUGGGCCCCGGGAAACAUCAUCCGGUAACAACCCUACAUGUUGUUUGUGGCUAGGUCUCAUUAUGUUCAUGAGGCAGACGCCGUAAAUCCGGCUCUCCUCUAGUUGUGUCUAGCCCUAGAGAUUGUUUCUUGCCCCGUCUUGGGGUGCCCUGCCCCUCCUUAUAUAUGUUGAAGGGGCGGGUUACAUAUGGAGUCCUAGUAGGAUUAGGACUAACUUAUCUUCUAUUACAAACGGGAUACAAGUCCGGGUCUUGCUUCCUUGUAAGGGAAAUAUUCAUCAUGCCUUUCCUCUUAAGCCGGCCCACCAGAACAUAAACCGGCCUGCUGGGCCUUGGGCCAUGUCGUCCAUCUGACCCGCCCGCCGGGUCACCAGUAAAUCGCAAUGUGCAAGCGGGUUGCUCGUAAACCGCCAAGUCCGGGCGGAUCGCCAGUGAGUCGCCAAGCUCCAGCCGGGUCUCUCGUGAGUCGCCAAGUCCGGCCGGGUCAUUCCGUGGGGUAUAUCCCCGACAGGUACAAUAGUGAUCCAGGAGUAGAUCACUGGACAGCGAUCAAAAUUAUCCUUAGUGGAAUAAGGAGAUAUUUCUUGGUUAUGGAGGUGAUAAAGAUUUCGUCGUAAAGAGUUACGCCGAUGCAAGCUUUUACACCGAUUCGGAUGACUCUGAGUCUCAAUCUGAAUACGUAUUAAAAGUGGGAGCUAUUAGCUAGAGUAGCUCCAUGCGGAGCAUUGUAGACAUAGAAAAUUUGCAAAAUACAUAUGGCUCUGAAUGUGACAGACCCAUUGACUAAGCUUCUCUCACAAGCAAAACAUGAUCACACCUUAGUACUCUUUGGGUGUUAAUCACAUGGCGAUGUGAACUAGAUUAUUGACUCUAGUAAACCCUUUGGGUAUUGGUCACAUGGCAAUGUGAACUAUAGAGUGUUAAAUCACAUGAUGAUGUGAACUAUAUUGGUGUUAAAUCACAUGGCGAUGUGAACUAGAUUAUUGACUCUAGUGCAAGUGGGGGACUGAAGGAAAUGUGCCCUAGAGGCAAUAAUAAAGUUGUUAUUUAUAUUUCCUUAUAUCAUGAUAAAUAUUUAUUAUUCAUGCUAGAAUUGUAUUAACCGGAAACUUAGUACUUGUGUGAAUACAUAGACAAACAGAGUGUCCCUAGUAUGCCUCUACUUGACUAGCUUGUUUAUCAAAGAUGGUUAUGUUUCCUAGCCAUAGACAUGUGUUGUCAUUUGAUGAACGGAUCACAUCAUUAGAGAAUGAUGUGAUGGACAAGACCCAUCCGUUAGCUUAGCACUAUGAUUGUUUAGUUUAUUGCUAUUGCUUUCUUCAUGACUUAUACAUGUUCCUCUGACUAUGAUAUUAUGUAACUCCCGAAUACCGGAGGAACACUUAGUGUGCUAUCAAACAUCACAACGUAACUGAGUGAUUGUAAAGAUGCUCUACACGUGUCUCCGAUGGUGUUUGUUGAGUUGGCAUAGAUCGAGAUUAGGAUUUGUCACUCCGAUUGUCGGAGAGGUAUCUCUGGGCCCUCUCGGUAAUGCACAUCACAAUAAGCCUUGCAAGCAAUGUGACUAAUGAGUUAGUUGCGGGAUGGUGCAUUACGGAACGAGUAAAGAGACUUGCCGGUAACGAGAUUGAACUAGGUAUGGUGAUACCGACGAUCGAAUCUUGGGCAAGUAACAUACCGAUGACAACUGGAACAAUGGAUGUUGUUAUGCGGUUUCACCGAUAAAGAUCUUCGUAGAAUAUGUAGGAGCCAAUAUGAGCAUCCUAGUUCCACUAUUGGUUAUUGACCGGAGAGGUGUCUCGGUCAUGUCUACAUAGUUCUCGAACCCGUAGGGUCCACACGCUUAACGUUCGAUGACGAUUGAUAUUAUGAGUUUAUGUGAUUUGAUGUACUGAAGGUUGUUCGGAGUCCCCGAUGAGAUCACGGACAAGACGAGGAGUCUCGAAAUGGUCGAGAGGUAAAGAUCGAUAUAUUGGAAGGCUAUAUUCGGACAUCGGAAAGGUUCCGAGUGAUUCGGGUAUUUUUCGGAGUACCGGAGAGUUACGGGAAUUCACCGGGGGAAGUAGUGGGCCUUAAUGGGCCAUACGGGAAAGGAGAGAAGGGCUUCAAGGGGUGGCCGCCCCCCNNNNNNNNNNNNNNNNNNNNNNNNNNNNNNNNNNNNNNNNNNNNNNNNNNNNNNNNNNNNNNNNNNNNNNNNNNNNNNNNNNNNNNNNNNNNNNNNNNNNNNNNNNNNNNNNNNNNNNNNNNNNNNNNNNNNNNNNNNNNCUAUGUGCUGGUCCGAACUGUACUAGGAGGGGGCGGCGCCCCCCUCCUUCCUUCUCCCCUCUUCCUCCUUCCCUUCCUUCUCCUAGUUGGAAUAGGAAAGGGGGGGCCGAAUCCUACUUGGACCGGGAGUCCAAGUAGGACUCCCCCUUUGGCGCGCCCCCCUUGGGCAGGCCUCCUCUUCCCCCUCCUUUAUAUACAUGGGAGGGGGGCACCCCAAAGAUAGACAAGUUGAUUUCUUAGCCGUGUGCGGUGCCCCCCUCCACAGAUUUCCACCUCGGUCAUAUUGUCGUAGUGCUUAGGCGAAGCCCUUUGUUGGUAGCUUCAUCAUCACCGUCACCACGCCGUCGUGCUGACGAAACUCUCCCUCGGCCUCAGUUGGAUCUAGAGUUAGAGGGACGUCACCGAGCUGAACGUGUGCAGAUGGCGGAGGUGUCGUGCGUUCGGUACUCGAUCGGUUGGAUCGCGAAGACGUUCGACUAAUCAACCGCGUUACUUAACUCUUUCGCUUUCGGUCUACGAGGGUACGUGGACACACUCCCCCCGCUCGUUGAUAUGCUUCUCCUAGAUAGAUCUUGCGUGAUCGUAGGAUUUUUUUGAAAUACUACGUUCCCCAACCGUGAUGAUUGAGGUUUUGAAAUAAGGCAACCUUUGCAUUUUAUAUUUGGAUCUUUUUAUUAUUUCAAAAUAGUGAAAAGUCAAAUAAGAGGUGUUAAGCUUUUUAUCAUUCUGGCAUCGAGCUAUUUUGCCGCAAGACCUCCCCUACAGUAUCGUCACCGCAGUAGAGUUUAACCACCAAAUUCGGGAUGGAUUGGUGUGGUUCCUCUAUACCAAGGACACCAAAAUAUCGAACCAUGAACGAGGAAAGGCAUGAGAUAAAUAUUGGCUAGUAAUUCUGAAGCCCCAAUUCUUGACUGAAAGGGACACCAAAGGCCUCUACCCUCCCUCUCUAUCUAUCCAAGACAUGGAAGGGCGGAGCUUUUUUUUGUUUUUUCAUCUUCUCAUCAAAGAGUUGAACAAUGAAGAUGGCAUUGUCUACGAAUAAGGAAGCUAUAAGUAAUGAAAGUAUGAAUCUCAUGGACAGUUCAAUCCUGCCUCAGGAUGAACGCUGGCGGCAUGCUUAACACAUGCAAGUCGGACGGGAAGUGGUGUUUCCAGUGGCGAACGGGUGAGUAACGCGUAAGAACCUGCCCUUGGGAAGGGAAAACCAACUGGAAACGGUUGCUAAUACCCCGUUUCUGAUAAGGGCUAUAGCUCAUUUCGAUAGAGCAACUCGUUUACACGUGCGCCAAUGCUUUUCAAAGGAGCUUAUUAUGCAAUGAACAUAGUCGAUCUUAUUGCAAAAUCAAUGUCUUACUUCAUAGAUCCGAGAGAAUAGGAGAAGAGUAUCCUGACAAAUAGUUGGUUCAGUUCGAUUUAGGUCCAAUUCAUAUGCCUAAUCAAAUAGAACCCUUAUUGAUUUGCUAGUUGAUAAGGUAAAUAUCCAGCCCACUAAAUGCUAGGCCUAAUGAGGGUAAGAGCCUCCAAAAAACUUUUUUUCGUUCUAUGAACUUUAAGGUGUAUGAAGUCUCAUAGUUAACUCUUGCAGUGGAACGAUAGAGACUCCAUUUCACUUAGGUUGAUUUAAUUUAGACCGGAGGCAGACCUAAGUCAAGGUAAUCCUCCUUUGAAACACUUUGGUAUUGCUCAUAGAUAGAUCAUAAUACAAAAAAUCAGUCAGAGCACAGGGAGCCAUCUCAUUAUCUUUCCGUAAAGAAAAACUAUGGUAGACUAACUGAUCUUUAAAUCAUUUUAUGAAAGAGCCCAAUGCAAAAAAAAUGCAUGUUGGGUCUUCAAAAUAGUUCAAAUCAUUUCGAUAAUAAUCCAUUUGAUCUGUUUUACCAAGAAGGUCUACGGUUCGAAUCCGUAUAGCCCUAAUAUGCCCUUUUUAGAUUUUAGGAUCUCUAUACUAUGUUUUCUUUAGUUUAGUAUAGUUUUCAUUUUCUCAUUAGUAUUUGUUUAUAGACUGGAUAGGCGCCUGCGACAUAGAAUAGAGAUAAAAGCAUUACCAAAGGCUCAUUCAUCGAAAAUCAAAAUCAUACAGACAAGAAAAGAAAAACGAAUUUCUAUCAAAUCAAUAGAAGAAAGGAUCCUUCCCCUGAUUUGAAUCCCGUCCUCCUUCAAAUAGGAUAUCUCCAGACUUCCCUAUAAUAACUGCAAUGAUUUUAUCCAUUUUGCGAAUUCCUACUUUGUUUUAAGUAUAUUUAUUACUUUGUUUAUAGAUACAUUAUGUAAAUUGAUCAACUUUAAAUAGAAAAAAUAAAGUAAAGAGUAAAUAAGAAAACAUAAUAUUAUGUCUCAUAGUUCUGAAAUAGAGUUCUUUAUUUCUAUUUUAUAGUAUUACUUCUCAUUAAUUAUACUGCAUAGAUUAGUCCUACUAUCCUAAUUAGGUUCUAAUUUAGUAGUAUUAUCAUUUUUAUUUAAUAGUCUCUUAUUAUUUUAUUAUUAAAUAUUAAAUAAAGGAUAGAGCUAUUCUUUUUCUAGAGAGAAAGCGAGACAAAGUGAAACGAGAAAGUUUUUUUUAUAUAAGAAUUAGAUCUACAUACACCAUAUGUAAAUAGAAUGGAAAUACAAAAUAAAGGGAGUUGGGAUUCCAUUGGAUGAAUCUUUAAAGAAGAUGCAGCACAGAGGAAACAAAGGCUAAACUAAGCGCUUUUGUUUGAACAAAAAAGAUUCUUGUUUCACCAAGGAAAAGAGAGAAGUUCUGGAUAAAUUGACAAUGUUGAAUUGAAUUGACUAAUUUAAGUUCUGUCUAUUCCACAUUAAUGGGAGUACAUUAUGUUUUUGCUUCACGAAUAUGAUAUUUUUUGGACAUUUCUAAUAAUAGCAAGCCUUAUUCCUAUUUUGGCAUUUUUGAUUUCAGGACUUUUAGCCCCGGUUAGUGAAGGACCAGAGAAGCUUUCUAGUUAUGAAUCGGGUAUAGAACCCAUGGGAGGGGCUUGGGUACAAUUCCGAAUAUGCUAUUAUAUGUUUGCGCUCGUUUUUGUUGUUUUUGAUGUGGAAACCGUCUUUCUAUACCCUUGAGCAAUGAAUUUCGACGUAUUGGUGUAUCCGUUUUUAUCGAAGCUUUGAUUUUCGUGCUUAUCAUAGUUGUUGGUUUAGUUUAUGCAUGGCGAAAAGGAGCCUUGGAAUGGUCUUAACUGAAUAUUUAGACAAAAAAGUAGGAAAAGAUUCUAUUGGCCAAUUUAUUGGCUAAUUCGAAUUCCUCUGUACAAUUCGUAAAAUUCUUUCUAAUUUCUUAUUGUUGAAACCCAAAAUUAAAGUCUCUUGGCUCUCUUCACGCUUUCUCACAAACAGAUUUAAAAAAAUAGAUUUUUAUUUUUGAAGUUUGGAUAAACCAUUGCUUCGUCUGGUGUCUACAAUACAUAUGACUCAUUAUAGUACUAAUUUCAUUUUUACCAGAUCGAAAAAAUUUAUGUUGAAAAGAAAAAAUUAUAGAUCCAAUGCCACAUUACGUAAAAAUUUACGAUACAUGUAUAGGAUGCACUCAGUGUGUACGAGCUUGUCCAAAAGAUGUAUUAGAAAUGAUACCCUGGGAUGGAUGUAAAGCCAAGCAAAUUGCUUCCGCGCCGAGAACCGAAGAUUGUGUGGGUUGUACGAGAUGUGAAUCUGCCUGACCGACAGAUUUUUUAAGUGUCCCCGUUUAUUUAGGGCCUGAAACAACACAUAGCAUGGCUCUAUCUUAUUCAUACGUUACAAAAAACUUCACUCGAAUCGUCUGAUUCCUCUUUACCGAAGAAGCAUGUGCUCGAAAUAAUCGAGCACGGGCUUUUCUGGUCAAAACGUAUCUUGUGUUUAUCACUUUAUCAUGAGUUAUUUUCCUUGGUUAACAAUACUUGUUCUUUUGCCGAUAUUUGCAGGUUCAUUAGUUUUCUUUUUACCUCGUAAGGGAAACAAAGUCGUUAGGUGGUAUACCAUAUCUAUUUGUUUAUUAGAAUUCCUUCUAAUGACUUAUGCGUUUUGUUAUCAUUUCCAACUGGAGGAUUCCUUAAUCCAAUUAAAGGAGGAUUAUAAAUGGAUAGAUGUCUUCGAUUUCCACUGGAGAUUGUGAAUCGAUGGACUUUCAUUAGGAUCUAUUUCAUUGACAUGAUUUAUCACUACUUUAGCCACUUUAGCAGCUUGGCCAAUUACACAGAAUUCGCGGAUUCUUGUGGUUCCGGGGAACCCAGUUACUGGCGAACCAGGAACGAGGAGCUCUCCCCUUUUUCCGCCCGACACUUUGAUCUUAAGAAUGCUGGUUUUAAGAACG